CCGUUGAUUGACGUGCUUGCACUGAUUUCAACAUUGGAACGAGUGGCGAACUGGUGAGUAACACGUGGAAAACCUGCCCAGAAGCAGGGGAUAACACUUGGAAACAGGUGCUAAUACCGUAUAACAACAAAAACCGCAUGGUUUUUGUUUGAAAGGUGGCUUCGGCUAUCACUUCUGGAUGGUUCCGCGGCGCAUUAGCUUGUUGGUGGGGUAACGGCUCACCAAGGCGAUGAUGCGUAGCCGACCUGAGAGGGUAAUCGGCCACAUUGGGACUGAGACACGGCCCAGACUCCUACGGGAGGCAGCAGUAGGGAAUCUUCCACAAUGGACGCAAGUCUGAUGGAGCAAUGCCGCGUGAGUGAAGAAGGGUUUCGGCUCGUAAAACUCUGUUGUUGAAGAAGAACGGGUGUCAGAGUAACUGUUGACAUCGUGACGGUAUUCAACCAGAAAGCCACGGCUAACUACGUGCCAGCAGCCGCGGUAAUACGUAGGUGGCAAGCGUUGUCCGGAUUUAUUGGGCGUAAAGCGAGCGCAGGCGGUUUCUUAAGUCUGAUGUGAAAGCCUUCGGCUUAACCGAAGAAGUGCAUCGGAAACUGGGGAACUUGAGUGCAGAAGAGGACAGUGGAACUCCAUGUGUAGCGGUGGGAAUGCGUAGAUAUAUGGAAGAACACCAGUGGCGAAAGCGGCUGUCUAGUCUGCAACUGACGCUGAGGCUCGAAAGCAUGGGUAGCGAACAGGAUUAGAUACCCUGGUAGUCCAUGCGUAACGAUGAGUGCUAGUGUUGGAGGGUUUCGCCCUCAGUGCGCAGCUACGCAU
rnacentral:rRNA from 2 species